AUUUUUUAUCUUUCCCACUUAACACUCCAGCGGGUGCGCCCUCCAGUUUUUUUGUUGUAAAUACUAUGCAUUAAAUCUGAUGCCUCCAGGUAUUCGUUCGCAAUACAUUUGUCCGUUCAUUCCUAUAUCGAACAGACCCUAUUUCGGUCGGCAAUAGUUUCAGAGUGGCAUUUAGUAAGAGUGUGCACAUCAGAGACAAGGGAUAACGAGACUGCAUUGAAUAGGAAAAUCAGAAAACACAUUUAGAUGCGCGGGGCUGGGAACAGGUUUUAAUGCAGAUUGGUUUCUGCGCAUAUAUUGGCAGCCAUGUCUCACUAGGUCCUAGGCCCUUGUAAAACUGUUGGUAGUUCUGCACAAAACCAAAACGUCAUUAGUCAUAAAUCUCUCAUUUGGCGGUAGUUUAUACCCAUUUCGUGUCUGUGAUCAUAGAAAUUCUAAAAGCAACAUACCACCGUUUAUACCAGACUAGUAAUUACCACGAGGCUGGUGCAUAACGAGUAAGUUAAUAGGUUUGUAUGUACGUUCUUUGUAUAUAAAUAUAAAUAAUUUGUUGUUUCUAAAUUAAUAGGUAUUGGAAUUGGUUCGGUAAAUAUUCAUUUAAUCAUUAAUUCAUAAUUACUUCAUCCCAAAAUGACAACUAUAGCAAAUUAUACUUGACGCUAUCCCUUGU
rnacentral:lncRNA from 1 species